rnacentral:piRNA from 1 species
UCCUAUGUCUCAGCAUUAGGGUUCUUGCGU